UGAGGAAUAUUGCACAAUGGAGGAAACUCUGAUGCAGCAACGCCGCGUGGAGGAUGACGCAUUUUCGGUGUGUAAACUCCUUUUAUAUGUCAAGAAAAUGACGGUAGCAUAUGAAUAAGCACCGGCUAACUCCGUGCCAGCAGCCGCGGUAAUACGGAGGGUGCAAGCGUUAUUCGGAAUCACUGGGCGUAAAGGACGCGUAGGCGGGAUGCCAAGUCUGAUGUGAAAUCCUAUGGCUUAACCAUAGAACUGCAUUGGAAACUGGUGACCUAGAGUAUGGGAGGGGGAGAUGGAAUUAGUGGUGUAGGGGUAAAAUCCGUAGAUAUCACUAGGAAUACCGAAAGCGAAGGCGAUCUCCUGGAACAAUACUGACGCUAAGGCGUGAAAGCGUGGGGAGCAAACG
rnacentral:rRNA from 1 species